UUGUAAAUUAUUACGAAUCUAAAUUGUCUUUUGAACUUCGUUUCACAAACUAUGCCGUCAUUUCAACACCAUUUCGAGUCAUCUUCGGAUUAAGCAAAGCAAAUAUAAAUUGUCAUUACAGAUAUCACUACACGAUUGUCUCUAAGGGUAGUUUCUGCAUACAUCUCACAAACGCUAGAGUGUCCUGUUGGCUCUGGCAAGUCUCCUCCACAGCUGAGACGCUACGAGACGUCUUCUCUGGUUCUUGGUCAACAGCAAACGAGGAGAUGGCUGAACCACUCAUGGCGAUCACUCCACGGAUAAACCCUACAUAAACCAAUCACUUCAAUGCUACUCUAGUGCACUCCAUAUUGUCCAGACAGAACUACACCCUUGUCUGGACUAAAGAAGUUCUAAACCAUCAGAAGUUAAUACAAAAAUGUGAAUCUACUAAUUUAAAACACCAAAUACUUUAUGAGAAAAAUUAAUGAACACUACUAUUUUAUUGUGAUUGAUUACUACACUGUACAUAAAUAAAUUCAUAGGUACCUGUUGUUAA